GUUUGAUCCUGGCUCAGGAUGAACGCUGGCGGCGUGCUUAACACAUGCAAGUCGAACGGGAAUUACUUUAUUGAAACUUCGGUCGAUAUGAUUUAAUUCUAGUGGCGGACGGGUGAGUAACGCGUGGGUAACCUGCCUUAUACAGGGGGAUAACAGUCAGAAAUGACUGCUAAUACCGCAUAAGCGCACAGAGCUGCAUGGCUCGGUGUGAAAAACUCCGGUGGUAUAAGAUGGACCCGCGUUGGAUUAGCUAGUUGGUGAGGUAACGGCCCACCAAGGCGACGAUCCAUAGCCGGCCUGAGAGGGUGAACGGCCACAUUGGGACUGAGACACGGCCCAGACUCCUACGGGAGGCAGCAGUGGGGAAUAUUGCACAAUGGGGGAAACCCUGAUGCAGCGACGCCGCGUGAAGGAAGAAGUAUCUCGGUAUGUAAACUUCUAUCAGCAGGGAAGAAAAUGACGGUACCUGACUAAGAAGCCCCGGCUAACUACGUGCCAGCAGCCGCGGUAAUACGUAGGGGGCAAGCGUUAUCCGGAUUUACUGGGUGUAAAGGGAGCGUAGACGGAUGGACAAGUCUGAUGUGAAAGGCUGGGGCUCAACCCCGGGACUGCAUUGGAAACUGCCCG
rnacentral:rRNA from 1 species